UGGGGAAUAUUGGACAAUGGGGGCAACCCUGAUCCAGCAAUGCCGCGUGUGUGAAGAAGGUCUUCGGAUUGUAAAGCACUUUCGACGGGGACGAUGAUGACGGUACCCGUAGAAGAAGCCCCGGCUAACUUCGUGCCAGCAGCCGCGGUAAUACGAAGGGGGCUAGCGUUGCUCGGAAUGACUGGGCGUAAAGGGCGUGUAGGCGGUUUACACAGUCAGAUGUGAAAUCCCCGGGCUUAACCUGGGAGCUGCAUUUGAUACGUGUAGACUAGAGUGUGAGAGAGGGUUGUGGAAUUCCCAGUGUAGAGGUGAAAUUCGUAGAUAUUGGGAAGAACACCGGUGGCGAAGGCGGCAACCUGGCUCAUGACUGACGCUGAGGCGCGAAAGCGUGGGGAGCAAACAGGAUUAGAUACCCUGGUAGUCCACGCUGUAAACGAUGUGUGCUAGAUGUUGGGUAACUUUGUUAUUCAGUGUCGCAGUUAACGCGUUAAGCACACCGCCUGGGGGAGUA
rnacentral:rRNA from 1 species